rnacentral:rRNA from 1 species
GACGAACGCUGGCGGCGUGCUUAACACAUGCAAGUCGAACGAAGAGCGAUGGAAGCUUGCUUCUAUCAAUCUUAGUGGCGAACGGGUGAGUAACGCGUAAUCAACCUGCCCUUCAGAGGGGGACAACAGUUGGAAACGACUGCUAAUACCGCAUACGAUCUAAUCUCGGCAUCGAGGAUAGAUGAAAGGUGGCCUCUACUUGUAAGCUAUCACUGAAGGUGGGGUUUGCGUCUGAUUAGCUAGUUGGGGGGGUAACGGCCCAACAAGGCGAUGAUGAGUAGCCGGUCUGAGAGGAUGAACGGCCACAUUGGGACUGAGAAACGGCCCAGAAUCCUACGGGAGGGAGCAGUGGGGAAUCUUCCGCAAUGGACGAAAGUCUGACGGAGCAACGCCGCGGGAGUGAUGACGGCCUUCGGGUUGUAAAGCUCUGUUAAUCGGGACGAAAGGCCUUCUUGCGAACAGUUAGAAGGAUUGACGGUACCGGAAUAGAAAGCCACGGCUAACUACGUG